rnacentral:rRNA from 1 species
UCGAGCGAGAAAGGGGGCUUCGGCCCCCGAGUAAAGCGGCGUACGGGUGAGUAACACGUGGGUAAUCUGCCCUUCGGUGGGGGACAACAAUCCGAAAGGAUUGCUAAUACCGCAUUCGUCGGCGAGGUCUGCGGACCACGUCGAGAAAGUGGGCCUCUACUUGUAAGCACACGCCGAAGGAGGAGCCCGCGUCCCAUCAGCUAGUUGGUAGGGUAAUGGCCUACCAAGGCAAAGACGGGUAGCUGGUCUGAGAGGAUGAUCAGCCACACUGGGACUGAGACACGGCCCAGACUCCUACGGGAGGCAGCAGUGGGGAAUAUUGGACAAUGGGCGAAAGCCUGAUCCAGCCAUGCCGCGUGAGUGAUGAAGGCCCUCGGGUCGUAAAGCUCUGUGGAGAGGGAAGAAUCCUUGCAGCAUCAGAUCCUGCAAGUUGACGGUACCUCUUUAGCAAGCACCGGCUAACUCCGUGCCAGCAGCCGCGGUAAUACGGAGGGUGCAAACGUUG